CUCGUUUAAUUUUCAUAAAAUUUUGACAAAAUAUUUACUUUGACCCUUAGAAAAAAAAUAUAAAAAUUUCAGAAAAUUUGAACCAAUCACUUUUUCGGAAAAAAAUGGUUGAAUAGAUAGCAGUUUGGCAAACACUAAUUUUGAUCAUUGAGAAGCUUAAUAGUUCCCUUACAAUACAACGUGAUUAAAACUCUUAGCUGAUUUUACAGAGUUAUCUCCC
rnacentral:lncRNA from 1 species